rnacentral:lncRNA from 1 species
CUGCUGCAAUGACGUCGUCUCAGGGCAUGUUUAAUGGAAGCUCCACGGUGGAAAAGGUAUUAAUGGCAGGUGAUCCAGAAGCUUUGUGGACCAUUGGCCUAAUUGAAGGCAGUAGCAGAAGAGUUGAGAGAGGACAGAUGUGGGAGAGGACCAGGUGACUGACUGAAUGAAAGGGGAGAAAUAUCCAGUCUGUGGCCUGGAGAUUACAAAGCCGUAAUCAGAAAUACUGGUCAACUGAUCUGUGUAUUUUGUGAUGACAAAGUACAGCAGCCACCAAGAGAAAACACAUGGCCAUAUUGAAAAGAGAGAGGAAAAGUAGAUUUUCUGAAGAGCCAGUGAAAAGGAAGUUUCAGGGCUGCUGGGCACCGGGCAACAGGAGUCACCAUAUGGCCAUCCUAACAGUGGUCGCUAGCUCCGCUGUAGUUUGUUCUCCAAAGCACUCUACAAACUUAUAGUGGAAAUCAUCUCGGGAAUCAGUAGCAAUGUUCGUAUUGAUUUUGUUGUUGUUUUCAGUGUGAUUUUUUGGGCAUUAAAGUUUUAAUUACAUAAAGA